GGGAGUGAAUGAGUAGAUGACAUGGGUGAGAGGUCCAGAGGUCAGGAAAGAACCAGACAUUGAAGUGUGGAUUGGGAAGUUCUCCAGUGGAAAUGAUUUUUUAGAUGCAUAAGUUUAUUUCUCUUGCUGUCGUAGAGGGACAUCUUCUGUCUCAUGCUUUGAAAUUAUCUAAUGAUUCUCCUUCACCUUCUGUGAUCCACCAUCAAAUUUCACAGUGACAGCCAAAGUCCUGUGAGGCCUGUGAGGGCCUGCAUAAUCUAGCUGCUCUUCCAUUGAUUUGGGAGCUCUGGGGAAGUCUGUGCAUGUUUCUACCUCUAUGUGAAACCACUUUUAAAGUUCCGUUUUUGCCUCAUGUAGAAGUGUGUGAGGGCAGUGAUGGAAAGUGGGAUUUCUGUUAGAAGCUGCAGGAAUUCUGUGGACAGAUGUCACAUAUUUUCUGGUAUUUGAAUUUCUAAUCCUACAGUGGUUUUCAAGAUGAUCCUACAAAAAUUGAGACUCAGUAACUUCAUCAGAGCACAAAGCAUUUUCCUAAAUAUAAAAAAACUGAUCUUGUAUUUCACUUCAACUUUCCAUCUUUCCUAGCCUAAACUAAGAUUAGAAAUAUAAGCUCUACAUGCACAAAGUCCACAGAUAUAAAAUCAUUUAAUAUGUUACUAUUAUGUAGAAUUCUUAACUAAAUGAAUGUCUGUGGGGAGCUUAGAACAUUGCCCAGUAUAUAGUAACCUCUCAACUCUUACCUUAUAAAUUAAUAGUAUCUUAUAAUUUUGUCUAGAUAAGUGUGAAGGUUAAUGAUAAUGUGUUCUUUAUGUUCGUUUUAUUUCUUUUCCUUUUCUUUUUUCUUUUGCUUCCUUCUUUCAUGUGGAUUUUUUUCCCCACACUUGUAAAUUAUAUAUAUUUAAGGGAUACAUCCUGAUAAUUUGAUUUUAUAUAUGUAUAUGUUGUAUAAUGAUUAAUACAAUGAAAUUAAUUAACACAUUAAUCAUCUCAUAUAGUUGCCAGGUUUUUGUGGAGAGGACAUUUAAAAUCUACUGUGUUAGCAAAUCUCAAGUAUACAAGAGUAUUGUAAACUGUAUUCACAGUGCUAUACAUCAGAUCCCCACAAUUUAUUUAUCUUUUAAAUGAAAGUUUGUACUCUUUGACCAGAGUAUCCCCAUUUUUACCACCUCUCAGCUGUGGGAACCUAUUGUUCUACAUUUUGCUUCUAUGAGUUCAACUUUUUAAGAUUCCACAAAUAACUGAUACUAUACAGUGUUUGUGUUUCUCUAUCUUAUUCAUUUACCAUAAUGUCCACCUGGUUCUUUCAUCCUUGUUGUCAGAAAUGGUAGGAUUACCUUCUUCAUUAUGCUGAAUAAUAUUCCACUAUAUAUUUUGAAUAAUCAGCUAUCAACAUAGGGGUACAGAUAUCUCCUUAACAUACUGAUUUUAUUUAUUUAUUU